rnacentral:tRNA from 1 species
CCAUCGGUGGUUCAGUGGUAGAAUGCUCGCCUACCACGCGGUCGGCCCGGGUUCGAUCCCCGGCCGAUGCA